UUCUUAUCUAGAGAGGCGGAGGGACUGGCCCGAAGAAGUCUCGGCAGCGGACUCGUUUUCGAGUGCUGUGCCAAAUCCAGCAAGCAUUGUGCUUGAAAGAUAAGAA
rfam:Geobacillus sp. WCH70, complete genome.